AACUUCUGAAUGUUGACCUCGAAUCAGGUAGGAAUACCCGCUGAACUUAAGCAUAUCAAUAAGCGGAGGAAAAGAAACCAACAGGGAUUGCCCCAGUAACGGCGAGUGAAGCGGCAACAGCUCAAAUUUGAAAUCUGGCUCUCGGGCCCGAGUUGUAAUUUGUAGAGGAUGCUUUUGGUGAGGUGCCUUCCGAGUUCCCUGGAACGGGACGCCAUAGAGGGUGAGAGCCCCGUCUGGUCGGACACCGAUCCUCUGUAAAGCUCCUUCGACGAGUCGAGUAGUUUGGGAAUGCUGCUCUAAAUGGGAGGUAUAUGUCUUCUAAAGCUAAAUACCGGCCAGAGACCGAUAGCGCACAAGUAGAGUGAUCGAAAGAUGAAAAGAACUUUGAAAAGAGAGUUAAAAAGUACGUGAAAUUGUUGAAAGGGAAGCGCUUGUGACCAGACUUGGGCUUGGUUGAUCAUCCAGGGUUCUCCCUGGUGCACUCUUCCGGCCCAGGCCAGCAUCAGUUCGCCCCGGGGGAAAAAGGCUUCGGGAAUGUGGCUCUCUCCGGGGAGUGUUA
rnacentral:rRNA from 3 species